CUGUGAAUCAAAAGGUCACCGGUUCGAUUCCCAGUCAGGGCAUAUGCCUAGGUUGCAGGCCAGGUCCCAAGUGGGGCCACGUAAGAGGAAACCACACGUUGCUAUUUCUGUCUCUCUCUUCCUCCCUUCCCCUCUCUAAAAAUAAAUAAAUAAAAUCUUU